AAGCAGGGGAUCUUCGGACCUUGCGCUAAUAGAUGAGCCUAAGUCAGAUUAGCUAGUUGGUGGGGUAAAGGCCUACCAAGGCGACGAUCUGUAGCGGGUCUGAGAGGAUGAUCCGCCACACUGGGACUGAGACACGGCCCAGACUCCUACGGGAGGCAGCAGUGGGGAAUAUUGGACAAUGGGCGCAAGCCUGAUCCAGCCAUGCCGCGUGUGUGAAGAAGGCCUUUUGGUUGUAAAGCACUUUAAGCGAGGAGGAGGCUACUUGGAUUAAUACUCUAGGAUAGUGGACGUUACUCGCAGAAUAAGCACCGGCUAACUCUGUGCCAGCAGCCGCGGUAAUACAGAGGGUGCGAGCGUUAAUCGGAUUUACUGGGCGUAAAGCGUGCGUAGGCGGCUUCUUAAGUCGGAUGUGAAAUCCCUGAGCUUAACUUAGGAAUUGCAUUCGAUACUGGGAAGCUAGAGUAUGGGAGAGGAUGGUAGAAUUCCAGGUGUAGCGGUGAAAUGCGUAGAGAUCUGGAGGAAUACCGAUGGCGAAGGCAGCCAUCUGGCCUAAUACUGACGCUGAGGUACGAAAGCAUGGGGAGCAAACAGGAUUAGAUACCCUGGUAGUCCAUGCCGUAAACGAUGUCUACUAGCCGUUGGGGCCUUUGA
rnacentral:rRNA from 1 species